rnacentral:rRNA from 1 species
CCCUUAGAUGUCCUGGGCCGCACGCGCGCUACAAUGACUCACUCAGAAAGUUUUUCCUGAUCCGGAAGGAUUCGGGUAAUCUUCAUAGCAUGAGUCGUGUUAGGGAUCGAUCUUUGCAAUUAUAGAUCUUGAACGAGGAAUGCCUAGUAAGUGCAGCUCAUCAGGCUGUACUGAUUACGUCCCUGCCCUUUGUACACACCGCCCGUCGCUCCUACCGAUUGAGUGGUCCGGUGAACCUUCUGGAUUAAGCAGCAAUGCUUGAGAAGUUAGGUAAACCUUAUCGCUUAGAGGAAGGAGAAGUCGUAACA